CUGUCCUUCAGUAUAUAUGUCCUCAGUUUUCUUCAGUUUCGGAUUUCUGUAUUUGGUCCUUAAAUUUUAAAAUCACUCAUUCUCCAGUCUUUCAGUCUUACCUUCUCAGUCAUCUUCAAUAUUCAUUGAACAUCAAGGCUAUGCGAUCAGGUCAGGUUUGGGCAAAGGUUUUUCCAGUGUUCGUUUUUUGCGUUCUGUCGCUAUCUAGGAUUAUUCAGAUUUUCCCUUUUUUUAGAUAACAUCGCCACAACUUUGUCAUUAUUAUUGUUCCUCACAUGAGGAUUUGGUUUUUCAGUUUCGUCAAUAGUUUCAGUGUUAGGUGUCAUUUUCAUCAGUUUCCUCAGUAGUUUCAGUGUUCGGUGUCAUUUUCUUCAGUUUCGUCAAAAGUUUCAGUGCUAGGUGUCAUUUUCUUCAGUUGUGUGAGUUACCACAUAGGUAGGUUAGUUAGCUAGUUUAGCAUGUUUUCAGACAGUUUUCAGUCUAUCUACAUCUCUCAUUUCAGUACUUUAGUCUUCAUUUUAUUUCUUCACAAUAAUUUCUUUUUCAGCCCUUCUUUUGCCAGUUUUUAUUUCUUCCUUUCCAGAUCGGAUCAGAUACACGCUAGAAAUGGAUUAAAUGGGGGUGUCGGUGUCGUCGAAUCCUACCACGAUCAGAUACAUGCUUGAAAGUCAGAGAUACAACUCUUACAGCAAAAUCAUUUUUGUGGGUCUGCGCCAAUAACCCGCUGAAAUCCGUGUCGGUUCUAGUGACUGUAGCAGCAAGAAGGAGCUGCCUGUUUGCGGGGUGGGGUCUCAAGACUGAGCUUUUUGGGCUUGAAGGUUAGGUCAAUUUUUGGGCAUUCAGUUCAGUUCAAUUAUGGGAAAUCAUCGUGCCCCUCAGCGUGGAUUGAUUAACACUUCAAAGGAAGAACCAGGAGGAUCUAUUCAUCUGCAUAUCUGUUGAAGGCUCUGAAGUGCAACUAACAAAUUAUUGCAAAGCCAUCAGUUGGUGCAUGAUGUCAUCCACUAUUUGCAGAUUAUAUGUCAACUAUUUACUGCCGCCCCGCAGAUGUUUUAAUUUAUUUGAUCCAAGUUCUGAACUGACUUCCUGUCAGCUUGCCACUCGAGAUUGUCAGCCCUUCCAAAUAGCAGCAUGGGGUUCAAGCACAGCACUUUGUACAUCAAUCAAGCUCAAACCACAUUUAUGAUGUGAAAGUGCCGCAGAAGACUGAAAUGUACAAGAUGUGUGCUCUGCUAUCCAACUGACAUACAGAGGUCAGUCUCGACCAGUCCAGAUCCUUGACAACUAAGCAUUUAUACCAACUUUUCCAACUUUGCUUUCAGUUCUGUACCCAUUUGCCCUCUAUUUCCCCUUCAGUCCCUUCUGUCUUUACUUCUUUGGGGGAAAGCACUAGAAUUAGCUUCACUUUUACGUGCCAAAGACGUAUAUAUAUACCCUGGUAUCUAAUUGGUUUCUUCUAAAACAUCAUGCCGUGUCUUGUUGUCUCGAGUUGAGCUAACUGUGCUUCCUGAAUGGUACACAGCAAGGAGGGGCGUGAUAUGCUUUUUACGCUGCGUAUUUGAUCGAUCUGGAGAUAAUCUCAAUGAAUGCUGCCUGCAUUAGCUUGAUUUUCUUGGCCUACAGGUUGGUGGCACUGCAAAAGCAGAGUUAGGCAGGUCUGAUUACUAAAGUGUGCUAAUUUGUGGUUAAGGGUGUCGCGUUAGGCACGUCGGUCUGGGUCUGGUGCGGUCGAGAUUAAUUGCCAUUGCUAUCAAGCCUUUCCAAUUAGGUGGGUUGGGUUGAUCCAGGGCCGUGUUUGGUUCAGGCAAAUCCAUCAUUGGAGGCUAUUAAUUGGCAUUAGGUGUGUAUCACUAAACCCCUGACUGUUAUGGCUCAUCUCACCUUUGCUGGGUUUUGCCUGUUCAGUUGUGAAAUGAAUGCAGAUUCUUCUGAUGGGCAGGCCUUGAUCUGUGGGAAGGCGAAGGAGGCCAGCUCUGUAAUGCUUGCUCCAAGGUCGGUCAGUCAAGGUCUUGAAGAGUCUGACGUCGAAUGCACCGUGCCACGGCUAAAAUGGCGUCAUUGCGGUGCUCGGAAAUCUUUGUUCGAUUCAGGUCUCCUGCAAAUGUCAUCGGUGUUUGGUUCCAGAAGACCGAAGUUGCCGGCGACGAAUCCGUCGGGUCUGUUGCAUCUUACACCGGACUAUAUCACCGGUUUUUCUUGAACCUCUUGGUUGAUAACCGUCAAGAUCAAGCCGUGAGGUGCUUCAGGGACACGAGUAUAUGCCAUAGACCCCCUCAACAGAAAAGAGAGUAUAUUCCAAAGUCUUCCUCGGAAGUCUUGAUGCUGUCUGGUCCAAAGAUCAACUGUCUCGUCUCAGUCGGCUCGUCCUUGCGGCCUAGGUGCUGCAUCAACAAAGCCUGACCAGUAGCCCCCUGGCUUCUGAUGCAUUCACGAAAGCAGUCGGUGCAACAGCUUUACUGUAACUGGCAAAAGCACGGAAGCUUGUGCUGUAACUUCCUACCAUGAUUAUCUGUAGAAAACAGAUCCAGGAAAAGGCAGAUGAAGGCUGUCAUUGAAGCUCCCAUGCGUUUUGUGAUUUUGGAGAUAAUUCAUGUUCUUUGUAGACCUGGCCAUUACGUUCAGCUACGUAUAAAGGAACUGUGCUCAUUACUAUGAGGAAUAAUAAGGUGGAGACAGCCUGCUCCGAUUUGGAUUGCCCAGCCACCGCUCUUGUUUGGCAAUACGUACACAAAGGGUGCGUUCGGACUCUCUCCGCUCCGGCGCUGCGGAGCGGCAACCCAGUUAAAAUUUACGGAGUUGCUAACAGGCCGUUCCGCGUGCUCCGCUCCGCGGAGUGCUGCCGAACGGGGCCAAAGUCAGAAUAACAAUGCCCAAGGUUUUGGGUUCAUCCAAAGUUUUACAGAUCUAUUGGUGGUAUGUUAUAUUGCACGUGCAAGUGUGACGAGGUACCGAUUUUUUCUCAAGUCAAUAAUGCAUUGAUGUUAUAAGAUAUCAAAUGUUAAUGAUUCGGGUUCCUAGUUUUGAAGGCAUUGGUGCAGAUUUUCUCUCUUUUGAUCAUGCUAAAACUUCAAGAUAAGUGAUUUUUUCAGAAUUGGUUGGUGUGGCUCCAGGAUUGAAGAUA